GGAUCCCAUCCACGAUACCACAUUGCCUUCACUAACCAUGACUCUUUGGGCUUCUCUCGGCUGUGACCAUUUUCUAGACUUUCCUUUUGAUGACCUGGACACUUUUGAGAAAUGGCGGUCAGGGCCCCCACCUGGCCAGAUACCAAGGGAGCCUAGUGUGUCCAUUCCUGAGCUCAGUUAAGGCAAGCAGUUUACACCUCCGAGCUCCUACCCCAACCAGGAUGCUCUCAACUUCGCAACAUAAUGAGGACAAGUGGGUAAUGUCAGAACGAGCUGCAUUCUCCUUGAACGCCCUUCUGGUGUCCCGGCGUCAUUUGUUGGCAUGAUGGACACCUCGCCACCCCCUCCUCGUCCCCGCCCCCACACUGGAAUCCGGUCCAGGACCCA